AAACUGCGAUAAGAAGUGUGAAUUGCAUUUAGUGAAUCAUCGAAUCUUUGAACGCACCCUGCACUCACUGGUAUUCCGGUGAGUACGCCUGUUUCAGUAUCAUUGAAAACACACAAUCAAAACAUUUUCUUUGGUUUGAUUGGCUUUGGGUCUAUCAAAAAGUUUGGCUUGUUUCUUACAAGCCAAGCGGCCUGAAAUAUAUUGUCUGGCUAAUUGCAUCGUUGAUGAUCGCUAUUAGACUUUGGCUUUUUUAAAUGAACUGGAGGUUGAUUAACCAGUUUUAGCUUUAGUCAAAUGGUCAUUGUAAAAAAAAUCUCGAUCUUGGCUAGGUGUUUAUAGCCGAAAAUUUUUUUUUGGCUAUAACCGAAACCAAUAUAAUCACAUUUAGUUAUCGAUCUGAAAUCAGGUGGGACUACCCGCUGAACUUAAGC
rnacentral:misc_RNA from 1 species